AGUGAACGCUGGCGGUAGGCCUAACACAUGCAAGUCGAACGGCAGCACAGUAAGAGCUUGCUCUUACGGGUGGCGAGUGGCGGACGGGUGAGGAAUACAUCGGAAUCUACUUUUUCGUGGGGGUUAACGUAGGGAAACUUACGCUAAUACCGCAUACGACCUACGGGUGAAAGCAGGGGAUCUUCGGACCUUGCGCGAUUGAAUGAGCCGAUGUCGGAUUAGCUAGUUGGCGGGGUAAAGGCCCACCAAGGCGACGAUCCGUAGCUGGUCUGAGAGGAUGAUCAGCCACACGGGAACUGAGACACGGUCCAGACGCCUACGGGAGGCAGCAGUGGGGAAUAUUGGACAAUGGGCGCAAGCCUGAUCCAGCCAUACCGCGUGGGUGAAGAAGGCCUUCGGGUUGUAAAGCCCUUUUGUUGGGAAAGAAAAGCAGCAGGUUAAUACCCCGCUGUUCUGACGGUACCCAAAGAAUAAGCACCGGCUAACUUCGUG
rnacentral:rRNA from 1 species